UUGUUGGUUGUUGGUUGUUGGUUGUUGGUUGUUGGUUGUUGGUUGUUGGUUGUUGGUUGUUGGUUGUUGGUUGUUGGUUGUUGGUUGUUGGUUGUUGGUUGUUGGUUGUUGGUUGUUGGAGGAUGGUUAACUUUCCGAGAGUUAAAUUGGGGAUGGACAAGCUCGAGUUGUGAUGCUAAACAUGUUCUAGGUGGUUAUGGAGCAUUUUGGGACAUUAGUGAUUUAAGAAUGAAUGUUAUAUUAAGGUGUAUUGUAUGGUUCAUUGUGGGUUAUAGAUAUUGCGUGUAUGCUCUCUAUUUUUAUGAGUUGGUGGACCUUUUGCAAGUAGGGAAUGCUAAGACAUUUCUUCUGGAAAUAUGUUAUUUCGACUUUGAGAUUUCGAAGUAUAUCUUUUAGCAUUUAAUAGAAUUACAUUGUGGAAAGUGAGUUGUGAUUUUGGAUCUGAAUUGUUUGAAGUGUAAAUUCUAUGAUAAAUGACUUGAGUUAUGUUGAUGGAUUCUUUAUUUUUUUUUAAUGUCGAACAUGAUGCACCAUGGGUGUGAUUCAGUUUUCAUUGAUCUUAAUAAUGGACAAUCUCGUGAGCGGACUAAGUAAUGCUUGAAUAAUCUCUAUGAGAGACCUGUUUAUAUGAUUUCCUUCUUUAAUAUUAGGAUCGUGGAAAAGUAACAAGUUCAUAUAGAUGAUUUCAUGAUAAUAUCAUCAAAGCUUUUGUGGUGAAGUUUUUUUUUCCCCCGGUUCAGCAUGUCCAUGUCCAUGGGAAUGUGUAUGUGUAUGUGUCUGUUUUAGUUAGUGAGAAAUUUGUAUAUAAAUUUGUGUAAAAUUUUAUAGAAUAGUUGGAUAAUGAAGGGGAGUGUAUAGCUUUCUAUUAUCAUGAUUUGUGUGUUAGAAACGUGGAAUGUUAAAGAGUUGGUCUUUAUAACAAAUUUGUUAAAGAGUUGGUCUUUAUAACAAAUUUGUAACAUAGUAUUUGAAGAGGAAGUUUGUGGAAAACAAAAGGUAUGUGCUCUUAGUGGAGCUAUUAUCUCAAGAUUUUAAGGAUAAAUUAUUAUGAAGGAAGCUAUAUGGUUAAACAUUGUAGGCUUGGUAGUAUAUGAAAGGUAUUGUAUGAUUGUUGUAAGAUCUAGAUUGUGGUUCACAUACUUUGGAAUAAUGAGUUACCGUUGAGGGAUUUUGUGGCAAUGUUAAUGGUAAUAACUUUGGCUCCUCAUGUUGUUUUGGGUUAUCUUGAGUUUGUUGGAUGUUGGUUCAUGAUUAACUUGGCGAGACUUAAAAUUGUUGAUGGACGAGCCGAACUUGAGAUGUUCGCUUUGGUUAUGGAGUAUUCUUGGACAUUAAUGAUUCAAGCAUAAAUGAUAUAUGAUGGCCAUUGUGGUUAUUGAUAUUGUGCGUGUGCUCUUUAUUUUUAUGAUUGGAUAGGCCUUUUGCAAUUGGGGAAUGGUGUGAUAAACUCUUUAGGAAAUAUGUUUGCUUGGAAGUAUAUGUAUCUUUUGGCUUUUGAUAGAAUCCUAUCGUGAAUAGUGAGUUGCGAUUUUGAAUUAGAAUUGUCAAAAGUGUGAAUUCAAUGAUAAGUGACUUUAGUUGUGUUGGUGGAACAUAGGAUGUGCACUUGUGCAGUGUGUAGUUUAAGGAACUUCUUUUAGUUAAUUAUUGAGAUGGCUAAAUGGAUUUUUUGUGGAAUAGUGGAUACACAUUCUUUACUUUGUUUUAGUGUCAAUCAUGAUGUAUUAUGGGUCUAUUGUGCUCUUCGUUGAUCUUGAAAAUGGAGUGUUCCAUGUUGAGGAAUGUUGGGAUAAUGUCUCUAAGAGACUUGUUCUUUAACAUUAGGAUUUUAGAAAACUAAGUAGCUCAUAUAAAUGGUACCAUGAGGGCAUUUUUUGUUGGGGUUGCUCUUUUUUUUCAGUUUGGCUUGUUAAGGUCGUUUGGAAUGUUUACAUUUGUUAGUGAGUUGAUGGAAGUGUAUAUUUUUCUCAGAAUUCUUCCAUCGAAUAUUAGACUCUUUCCCAGAUACUCGGGUUCAAAUACCCACGGAUUCGCUGUUUGUUUACUGGCUUAAGAUACACUAGUUUUCUCGAAGCCUCUCGUUCAUCUCUCUCAUCAAAAGGUGUUAUUCGAUUAUGUCUAUCUAGCAGACUCCCCCACUAAAUCAGAUGGCUAAUGAAGCGAGUGUGUUUCUUCUGUGUGUUAGAUGUGGAUUGUUAACUAGUGGUCUUUGAUAUAAACAGAGAGUUAUUUGGUGGAAAUCAAUUAAUGGAGCUGUUAUCUCUUGGUUGUUUAAGGAUAAAUGAUUGUGAAGGGAGCUAUUUGGUGAAAUGUUCAAAGCUUCAUUGCAAGUAAUGGUUGUGUUUAAAAGACCCUCUAUGAUUAUUGUAAGAUCUAGGUUGUGGCUCACAUAUUUUGGAAUAAUGUGUUACUUUGAAGGACAUGAUGACAAAGUAUUUAUAGUAGAAACUUCGACUCCUCUGGUUAUCUGAUGGUAGUUUAGGUAGUAUAAUUCUGGGUUAUCUUGGGGUUGUUAGAUGAUGAUUAUGUUGACGAGGGUCAAAAUUGCUGAUGGACGAGCUCGAGUUGUGAUGAUAAAACACGGUCUAGGUGGUUGUGGAGCAUUUUAUGACAUUAAUGAUUCAAGCAUAAAUGAUGUAUAUAGUGUAUGGUUAUUGUGGGUUAUCGAAUAUUGUGCGAAUGCUCUCUAUUUUUAUAAUUGGAUGGACCUUUUGCAUUUGGGAAAUGUUGAGAUAAACUCUUUGAUAACUAUAUCUAUCUUUUCGCUUUCUAUGGAAUUCUAUUGUAAGUAGUGAGUUGUGAUUUUUUGUCAGAAUUGUGAAUUCAGUGAUAAGUGAAUUUAGUUGUACUCAUGUAGCAUAGGAUGCGAAGUGUUACGGAGUAGCUUCGUAGAGCUAUAGUGGUCAAGAAGGCUUAAUGGAUAUUUUGUGGAACACUGGAUAUAGUUUCUUUAUUUUGUUUUAAUGUCAAACAUGAUGUAUGAUGGGUUAACUCCUGUUGGACAAUCUCCUGCGCGGACUAAGGUAUGCUAGGAUAAUCUCUUUAGAGAGACCUGAUUAAAUUAUUUUAUCCUUCAACAUUAGGAUCUUGGAAAACUAAGCAGUUCAUAUAGAUGGUAUCAGGCAUGUUGUUGGUGUAUGUCAAUCUAUCAUCAUGAUUUGUGUGCUAGAAAUCAGGAAUAUCAUGAGUUGGUUUUUGAUGUUAAAAGAGAAAGUUUAUUGAAAACAAAAGAAAUGUGUUAUUAAAUUUAAUGGAGUUGUUAUCUCGAGGUUAUUCAAGGAUAAAAUAAUGUAACGGAAGCCAUUUGGUGAACCGGGCUUGUUUUUAUUGUAAGUAAUGGUUGUGUUUGAUAAAUCUUGCAAAUAUUUAUGGUGGGGACUUUGGCUCCUCAAGUUGUUAGAGUAGUUUAUGUAGUAUAGUGUCGUAUUAUCUUGAGGUUGUUGGAUGUGUGAUGAUGAUCAACUUGACGAGAAUUAAAGUUGGAUGUGUGAUGAUAAGCAUGUUUUAGACAUUGAUGUUUCAGGCAUAAAUGAUGUAUAAAGUUUAUGGUCAUUGCUGGUUAUCGAUAUCGUGCACAUGCUCUCUAGUUUUACGAGUGGGUAGACCUUUUCCAGUUUGGGAAUGCUAAGACAAACUCUUUGCGGAAUAUGUUUUUUUGAUUUUUGAGUCUUGAAUUGGACGUAUAUCUAUCUUUUGGCUUUUGAUGAAAUUCUAUUGUGAAUAGUGAUUGUGGUUUUGGAUUUGAAUUGUCAGUAGUGUGAAUUCUAUGAUAAAUGACUUUAGUUGUGUUGAUGGAGCAUAGAAUGUGCAGUGUUUAGUUAUUUAGCAGUUUGGUAAAGUUAAUCAUUGAGAAGUCUAAAUGGAUUAUGUGUGGGGGACUGGAUGUAGUUUUUUUUAUUGUCUUAAUGUCAAACAUGAUGUUCACAUAGGAUUAUUGAGAACUUCUUUGGUCUCAAAAAUAAUCCCAUGCGUGAACUAAGGAAUGCUAGGAUAAUCUAUUUAAAGGACUUGCUAAAUUAUUUUGUUCUUUAACAUUAGGAUAUUGGAAAACUAAGGGCAAUCCCGUGCGUGAACUAAGGACUUGCUUAAAUUAUCUUGUUCUUUAACAUUAGGAUUUUGGAAACUGAGUAGUUCAUAUAGGUGGUAUCAUGAAGGCAAUUUGUGGUUGGGUUGUUUUUUCCAGUUUGGCAUGUCGAGGUCCUUAGGAAUGUUUAUGUGUUAGUGAGUUGAUAGAAUUUUGUUUUUUCUUUAUAAUUAGAUGUUUAAUGAAGCGAGUGCGUUUCUCUCUAUUAUCAAGAUUUGUGUGCUAGAAACGUGGAAUAUUGAGAGUUGGUCUUUGAUAUUAAAAGAGGAAGUUCAUGGAAAACAAAAGGAAUGAUGCUUCUUAGUGGAGCUGUUAUCUGGAGGAUAAAAUACUGUAAAUGAAGCUAUUUGAUGAAACGUUCUAUGACCCAUUGUAAGUAAUGGUUGUGUAUGGAAGGCCCUUUGUGGUUCACAUAGUUGGAAUAAUGAGGAAUCUCUGAGGAACAUUAUGGCAAGUAUCUAUGGUAGGAACUUUGGCUACUCAUGUUGUUUGAUGGUAGUUUAUGUAAUAUAGUGUGGGUUAUCUUGAGGUUGUUGGAUGUUGGAUGUUGGAUGAUGAAUUGAUGAUUAAGUGGGCAAGAAUAAAAGUUGGUGAUGAAUAUGUUUUAGGUAUUUAUGGAGCAUUACUGGACAUCAUACAAACGAUAUAUAAAGUCAUUGUGGGUUAUCCAUAUUGUGCGCAUGCUUUCUAUUUUUAUAAUUGAGGGAAUCUUUGCAACUGGGGAAUUCUAAGAUAAACCCUUUGGGAAAUUGUUUUUUUUUUAAUUUCUAUACUGGGAAAUAUAUCCAUCUUUUGCUUUUAUGAUUGAAUUUUGAUGGUGAUUCAUAUGUGUUCGUAGGAUGUUGUUCACGUAAGCUUGUUGGUAAGAAAUGAGGACUGGUGAAAAGUUUUAUUCUUUUUUAGGUGAAUAUGAUGAGUUUGAUGGGGCUAUAUUUAAGGACUGAAUAAUACCCUAAAAUUGAGAGAGGAACUGAAGUUGCUUGAGAAGAGGGCUCAAGGUCUCCAUCAACUUACACUAGGAUGAUGUGAAUGCCGAAAAUAAAGAAGCUAUUGCAAUUGCCGAAAAUGCUAGGCUGCUAAAGGCACCAAAAUAGAUGGAAAGUUCAUAGUUGGCAUAGAAUGGGUAUCUCGAUGUACUAUAUUGUAAUUGUACCUGUUUGUUAUAUUUUUUUGUUGUUAUUAUGUUAUUAUAUUAAUUAAUUAAUUAAUUAGAAUUCUAAUUCUAUAGGAGUAUAACAUAUGAUAUUAUUAUUCAUAGCAUUACUAUACCUGCCCUAUUCAUUGCGGGUUGGUUAUUCGUCA